GCCGCCUGGGAGGGGAUUCCGGCUUCCGGCCCGGACUGGAGCUGCCUGGCCUCGGUGCCCGCGCCCGGCCCAGCCCGGGGCCCGCCCUCCCCUCUUCCUGGGCAGUGGCCCCGCCCGCGUUUCCAGGCUUCCUCUUGAUAAUAGCGAGUAGCCCUGGAGUGGUGUCAGCCCGCCAGGCUGAGCGCUCUGCGUAUUCAGGCGUUGAAGUUGGGGAGAAGAAGUGGGUGACUGUGGGUGACACGUCCCUGAGGAUAUUUAAGUGGGUUCCUGUGACAGACAGCAAGGAGAAAGAAAAGUCAAAAUCGAACAUUUCAGCAGCCCGAGAACCUAAUGGCUUUCCUUCUGAUGCCUCAGCCAAUUCCUCUCUCCUUCUUGAAUUCCAGGACGAAAACAGCAACCAGAGUUCCGUGUCUGACGUCUAUCAGCUUAAGGUGGACAGCAGCACCAACUCAAGCCCCAGCCCCCAGCAGAGUGAGUCCCUGAGCCCAGCACACACCUCCGACUUCCGCACGGAUGACUCCCAGCCCCCAACGCUGGGCCAGGAGAUCCUGGAGGAGCCCUCCCUGCCCUCCUCGGAAGUUGCUGAUGAACCUCCUACCCUCACCAAGGAAGAACCAGUUCCACUAGAGACACAGGUCGUUGAGGAAGAGGAAGACUCAGGUGCUCCGCCCCUGAAGCGCUUCUGUGUGGACCAACCCACAGUGCCGCAGACGGCGUCAGAAAGCUAGCACCGUCCCGGCCCUCCGCCUCCUGGCCCUGCCUCUAUUUAUUGCAUUCUGGUUCUGGCCGCGCUGCGUUGCUGGGGUAAGGGCAAGCACUGGGGUCAAGAGCCUGCACACAUGAGCCUUCCGGGCUGGAAGGCUGGCGUAGGACUUGGGGCUGUAGCAUCAUCUUCCCGACCCUGGCACCUGUGUCUACUUGCUCCCGAGAAGAGGAGCGCUCAUGUCUUUUUUGCACCCCAAGUUGGCUGGAGCAUCGGCCACCCCAAGAUUCAUCUGUGACCUCCAGGCAGCAGUCUCUGCUCCAGAACCUCUGGACGGAGCUGCUGGCAGCUUCUGCGAGAAGAGAGAGAUGUGGAAGGCACCCUCUAGAAGAGAGUGUGCCUCAGGUUACUUGAACUUGAAUGGAGACUGUAGACUCCCGGACUUUCCCCUAGGACUGGGGGCCCUGUAGGCUGCUGUUGGAGAAGGACUGGGUAGAGACAUUGGAGGGAAGGGAAGGGCUUUUCUCCACACAAGGGCAGAGAGUCCGUCUAGAUUUCUUGCUGUCCUGCCAGUUCUGCCCAUGCCUGAGGUGGUCCUACCUCUCACGGGCACCCUAGCUGCUGACAGCCCUUUGUGGCCGCCGUCCCCAUCCCCUGCCCUCAGCACACACGUCCGCACACACGCAGCUUUCUUUGUUCUCACCUCUACCUGUCAUUCCAGCAUCCCUGCCUCCUGUCACAAACUGCCCCAGCAAGAAUUUGAGGUUCUGACAACAGUACCCAUCCCCCACAGUACCCCUUCAGCUCAGUUUCUAGAAAGCUCCCUUUUCUUUGAAAUCUGCAUGUUGAAUUGAACUUUGUGAUUUUAUUUUUUGUUUCAAAAAAGUUUAAGAAAAUGGAAAUGGGCAACAGUGAGUGAAGACAUAUUUUAGCACUGAAUAG
rnacentral:sRNA from 1 species